rnacentral:rRNA from 1 species
UACGGAGGGAGCUAGCGUUGUUCGGAAUUACUGGGCGUAAAGCGCGCGUAGGCGGCUUUGUAAGUUAGCGGUGAAAGCCCGGAGCUCAACUCCGGAACUGCCUUUAAAACUGCAUCGCUUGAAUCCAGGAGAGGUGAGUGGAAUUCCGAGUGUAGAGGUGAAAUUCGUAGAUAUUCGGAAGAACACCAGUGGCGAAGGCGGCUCACUGGACUGGUAUUGACGCUGAGGUGCGAAAGCGUGGGGAGCAAACAGG